rnacentral:misc_RNA from 1 species
GAAAUGCGAUAAGUAAUGUGAAUUGCAGAAUUCAGUGAAUCAUCGAAUCUUUAAACGCACAUUGCGCCCGCCAGUAUUCUGGCGGGCAUGCCUGUCCGAGCGUCAUUUCAACCAUCAAGCCCCCGGGCUUGUGUUGGGGACCUGCGGCUGCCCGCAGGCCCUGAAAACCAGUGGCGGGCUCGCUGUCACACCGAGCGUAGUAGCAAUCACCUCGCUCAGGGCGUGCUGCGGGUUCCGGCCGUUAAACAGCCUUACAAAACCCAAGGUUGACCUCGGAUCAGGUAGGAAGACCCGCUGAACUUAAGC